AUGGUCGCUAUAUGCUCGGGAAUCCGCGCCGCCUACGCCUCCUCCUGCCCCGUCGCCUCCGCCGCGAAUCUAUUCCUCUGGGCCUCCUCCUCUGCUCGCGCUCCGACUUUUCUGCGGCGCAGCAACAGCAGGGUAUCUCGGCGUCCAAAAGCCAUGGCCUCUGCCCAUCCCUCGCAAGGAUUGCCUUCAGGGAUGGAUCCUUCUAUGGUGGAUGAGUACGCUUCCCAGUCCAAGCUGUUGCAAGAAUUCGUCAAGAUACCCAGCAUUGGCAAGGCUUGGGUCUUCACUUCCAAAGAUGAAAACGCAUCCAGGGCAAUGGUUUCUGUUAGCCAGUCGGAUCUUUUGGCCAACAAAAAGAGGAGUUUCCUUCUAAAUACUCACAUUUCAAAAAGUUCCUCAAAGUCAGUAAGUUUCCAGUGGUCUCCCUUCCCGGUUGAAAUGAGUGGAGUGUCAGCAGUCGUUCCAUCACCGUCCGGCAAAAAGCUUCUGCUAGUACGGAAUGCUGAGGAUGAUGACUCCCCUACAAAAUUAGAGAUUUGGGGGCCCUGUCAGUUGGAGAACGAAAUACAUGUUGCACGAUCUGUUCAUGGGUCGCUGUACGCUGAUGGAUGGUUUGAAGGGAUUUCAUGGAACCAGGAAGAGACUCUUAUAGCUUAUGUUGCUGAGGAGCCUCCUCAACCAAAGCCAGAGUUCAAUGAUUCAGGUUACAAGAAGGAAGGUUCGUCUCAAAAGGACUUCAGGAGCUGGAAGGGACAAGGGGAUAUAGAAGAUAGCUGGGGAGAAACCUAUAGUAACAAAAGGAUACCUGCUUUGUUCGUCGCUAACAUCUCUAGUGGUGAAGUACGAGCAUUGAAGGGUAUACCUAGAUCGUUAAGUGCUGGCCAGGUGAUUUGGGCUCCAUCGUCUUCAUAUAGUUUGGUUUUUGUGGCAUGGUCAGAUGAUAAUGGUUUCCAAGAGACACCAAGGAAACUUGGUAUCAAAUACUGCUAUAACAGACCUUGUGCUCUGUAUGCUGCUGCUGAUCCUUUCAAGGAAGAAGCUGACAAACCAUCUACUGACUCCAAUAAGGGUGAUACUGCAGCUCUGGUCAAGUUAACAGCAGACUUGAGCAGUGCCUUUUUCCCACGGUUCAGCCCGGAUGGGAAGUAUCUUGUGUUCAUCUCAGCAAAGAGUGCUGUGGAUAGUGGAGCACACAAUGCCACAAAUUCAAUGCAUAAAAUUGACUGGCCUACCGACGGCAAACUAGAGGGGAGCCUCAGUGUUUCUGAUGUGGUACCCACUGUAAUGAGCCCUCAAGAUGGGUGUUUCCCUGGGAUGUACUGCUCUGGCUUACUUCGGUUUCCAUGGCUUUCUGAUGGACGGACUAUGAUUUUAUCUUCUGCUUGGGGAAGCAAGGAAGUAAUACUUUCUAUCAACGUUGCGAGCGGCGAAGUCUCAAGAGUUAGUCCGCAGGAUUCAGAUUAUUCCUGGAACGUUCUCGCACUUGACAAUAAUAACAUUCUUGCAGUUUCCAGCAGCCUUGUAACGCUGCCUCAAAUGUACUAUGGAUUUGAAGAUUCUCACACAGACAAGCCCUGCCAGUGGGACUGGCAGGAAAUUUCGUCUCCAUUUCCGAAGCCAUCUGAUAAGGUCAGCUCCUUGUUAGCCGAUCAUAAGUUCAGUGUAAUCAAAAUCCCAGUCAGCAAUCCUUCUGACAAACUUCCAGAUGGUGCUAAGCUCCCCUUUGAGGCUAUUUUUGUGUCUGGCAAGGAUUCAGCAAGUAGUCCAACGAUUGUUGUUCUUCAUGGUGGCCCUCACAGUGUCUACCCAUCAAGCUAUUCGAGAUCCUUGGCUUUUCUGUAUGCACAGGGAUAUAACCUGCUUGUUGUAAAUUACAGGGGCUCGUUGGGGUUUGGAGAAGAAGCAUUGCAAUCUCUUCCUGGCAAUAUUGGUUCUCAGGAUGUGAAUGAUGUAUUGACAGCUUUGGACUUUGUCAAAAAGAGAGGACUAAUAGAUGCAUCUAGAGUAGCUGUAGUUGGAGGUUCACAUGGAGGUUUCUUGACAACACAUUUGAUCGGCCAGGCUCCAGAAACAUUUGUUGCAGCAGCUGCUCGAAAUCCAGUAUGUAACUUACAAUUGAUGGUCGGUACCACUGAUAUCCCUGAUUGGUGCUUUCUGGAGGUUUAUGGAAAAGAAGGGAAAAACUGCUUUACGGAAUCUCCUUUGGCGGACACUCUUACUCAGUUUUACCAGAAAUCACCAAUAUCACAUAUUUCCAAGGUUAAGACACCAACACUCUUUCUUCUCGGAGCAAAAGAUCUCCGUGUUCCUGUUUCUAAUGGCCUACAGUAUGCAAGGGCUUUGAAGGAGAGGGGGGUUGACACCAAAAUUAUUGUCUUCCCAGAAGAUAUUCAUGGACUUGACAAGCCACAGUCCGACUUUGAGAGCUUCCUCAACAUAGGAGUUUGGUUCAAGAAGUACAUGAGCAAAUAA
rnacentral:rRNA from 1 species